AUGGUACACAAGAGACAUAAUUACAUCACCACCAAUCUCAGCAAACGCGCAUGUACUUUUUAUUCUUGUCCAUUUAUAUGUACACCAAAUGCAAAAAAAGAACAAAUAAUAAUUAAAAAUGCUUCACAAGCUAAACUCUGCCUUCACAUAAACUAAUGUCCUGUUUCCUAUGUUGCUUCCUGCUUUCUUAUAAGCCUAAAAAUGCAAAACUGUCUCCAGCUCAGCAAAUUGGUGAGGCGCCGCCUAACCCAAAUAAAGCCAGGCAGCUUCCAUAUGGAGCUAGACUUGUCUAA
rnacentral:lncRNA from 1 species